GGGCCUGAUUGCACCUCUGCUUCUCUGCUAUCUCUGGUGCUCAAAGAGACAAGGAUCCUAACCCGGCAUGGGGCUAAAAAGAGGAUGUUGUCUGUAUGCAAACCCCUGGGAAAUAGUCGUAAUUGUCUUCGUUUAUCCACUGACCACUGUCUCACAAUAUUGUAGUUUCUCCAUUUGACCAGGUUCCUGAGGCUUGGAGAAGAGAUUAUCCAGAGAUUAUCCAGAUGGGUCUCAUGUAACCAACUUGGCCUCAGACUCUUGGACCUUGGACUUCUGUCCUGUUUCCAUCUCUGGUGCUCAGGUUUAGGAACUCAGCAUCUUCCUACCUCUGUUUCCCGAGUGUCUUGUGCAGGCUGCUGCACCUGGCUGACAUGGUAUCUCAGUUUGGCGUUCUAUUGCUGUGAAGAGACACCAUGGCCAAGACAACUCUUAUA
rnacentral:lncRNA from 1 species